UACAGAGGUCUCAAGCGUUGUUCGGAUUCAUUGGGCGUGAAGGGUGCGUAGGCGGCGCGGUAAGUCGGGUGUGAAAUCUCGGAGCUUAACUCCGAAACUGCAUUCGAUACUGCCGUGCUUGAGGACUGGAGAGGAGACUGGAAUUUACGGUGUAGCGGUGAAAUGCGCAGAUAUCAGGAGGAACACCGGUGGCGAAGGCGGGUCUCUGGGCCGAUACUGACGCUGAGGAGCGAAAGCGUGGGGAGCGAACAGG
rnacentral:rRNA from 1 species